UCUUAAGCCCAAAACAAUGGCUUAACAGUCAAUAACCCAGCCUGCUGCUCUUAUUUCCAUUAGUUUUCCAGGUAAAGAUCAUGGGACAGAUCCUAGUAUGUCUUCAUAAUCUACAUGCCUGGCAUAUCACAUGAACUUCCUAUUUAUUGGCCUUGGCAGGUGCUCUUCUAGUUUUGGACCCCAGCGGUGAGUAGGAAGGCCAUGUCAUCCUGCCCUAGCAGUGAGGAGCACUGGAGCAGAGGAGGAAGAAUUCUAAUGCAGAUGUGUUCCAGCAUGAAGCACAUACCUGGGACAUAGAAGAUGCUCAGUAACAAUGGGAAAUCCUAGCUUUACUUUGAGAGAGGCAAUCUGAGAGAAGAUAAAAGAUAUCAGUUGGAAAAUUCCUCACAUUUCUCCCUUCCUCCUCACAGUCCUCUUUCAUGCCUUCUCAUCAAGGAGGAGGAGGUGCCUCCCCAAGUGUCAGACAAAUAGCCUCUUCUGGUGUCUGGUUCUCUUCAAUUAUUUCCUGAGCAUCUGACUGUUCCAGCACUGGGCCAGCCACUAAGUAGAGAAUUAUGAACCAUACAAAUGCGAUUCCUAUCCUCAAAGAGGUGAGAAUCUAGCAGAGAGCAGGCAUUUGUAAUCACAAAUAGAUGAGUAUUAAGUCACACAGGAAUUCUCUUCUCCAGCCUUCUUGGAAACUGCCACUGAUUAACCCCUACUGUCUUCCUUAUGUCUCCAAGCUUUCGUUUGCUACACCAUCCCUAGAGUCAGCCUUUAUAUUUGCUAUCUCAUCUUAAAAGUAAGAUGAAAUUUCCUUUUUCCCAUAUUUCCCUCCAAAUACAGUCCUACAUUGUCCUCUAUUCCACAGUAAAAUUUCUAGAAAAAGUUGUUUAUCAUCACUAUAUUUUUCUCCUUACUUCCCCCUGCACUUUGGCUUCUGAAACACUUCCUUACCUCUAACCACCAGAUUCCAGGAGCCUCUCUCACCAAAAGCAAUGACUUUCACAUUGGUGAACCCAAUGCAUACUUUUUAGUUCUUGUUUGUUCUCUUGGCAGCAUUUAAUGUUCCGUGUCAGUUUUUGUUUUUCCAAAUCCUCUUUGUUUGCUCCAGACACUCCACAAUCUCCUUGCUUCCUCACCUCUUUGGCUACUUUUAUUUCUAUUUCCUUUGCAGUUUCCCCUUCAGCUAUUAGACCAAUAAGACUCAGUUCUCCCCUCUUUUUUUACUUAAUAUUGUCCACCUUGGCAAUUUCUUCCAUCCCUAAGCCUUAAAGUGGCAUCUCCAGAUGAAUGUUCCACUUUGUACUCUGGCUCAAAUCUCUUCUCUGAAUUUCAGACUAGACGUACCUAACAGAACUUGUACAAUUUCCCUGGGAACAUUUCUCAGAAUCUUUGACCAGGUUAGUCCUUUACAGUGUGUUCCCAUAUCAUGUAUUUUUCUAUCUACUUUGUUGUGAUUUUAUUAUCUGUCCUGUCCCGGAAUGUACUCUGUGAGGGCAGGAAUCACAGAAGUGUAUCUGUCUUAUUCAUCAUUGUAUUUGCAAUGUCCAGCAAACUGGUUUGUAUUUACUAUUUAUUGGAAGUCUGAAUUGAUAAAUAUAACGAUUUUAAUAUGGGGCGCCUGGGUGGCUCAGUUGGUUAAGUGUCCGACUUUGGCUCAGGUCAUGACCUCAUAGUUUAUGAGUUCAAGCCCUGAAUUGGGCUCUGUGCUGACAGCUCAGAGCCUGGAGCCUGCUUCAGACUCUGUGUCUGUGUCUCCCUCUGUGUCUCCCUCUCUCUCUGUCCCUCCCCCACUCACACUCUUUUUCUGUCUCUCUCUCUCAAAAAUAAAUAAACAUUAAAAAAUUAA